rnacentral:rRNA from 1 species
GAUGAACGCUGGCGGCGUGCCUAAUACAUGCAAGUCGAGCGACCGGACGAGAAGCUUGAUCCUCUGACGUUAGCGGCAGACGGGUGAGUAACAUGUGAAUAACCUACCUAUAAGACUGUAAUAACUUCGGGACACCGGAGCUACUACCGACUGAUAUCUUGAAACGCCUGGUUAAAAUGUGAACGACCGCCUUGCUGUCACUUAUAGAUGGAUCAGCGCUGUAUUAGCUAGGUGGUAUGGUAACGGCUUACCAAGGCAACGAUGCAUAGCCGGCCUGAGAGGGUGAUCGGCCACACUGGGACUGAGACACGGUCCAGACUCCUACGGGAGGCAGCAGUAGGGAAUCUUGGGCAAUGGGCGAAAGCCUGAUGGAGCAACGCCGCGUGAGUGAUGAAGGUCUUCGGAUCGUAAAGCUCUGUUGUUCGGGAAGAACAUAUGUGUAAGUAUCUGUGCAGAUCUUGACGGUACCGGAUCAGAAAGCCACGGCUAACUACGUG